rnacentral:rRNA from 1 species
AGAGUUUGAUCAUGGCUCAGAUUGAACGCUGGCGGCAGGCCUAACACAUGCAAGUCGAACGGUAACAGGAAGAAGCUUGCUUCUUUGCUGACGAGUGGCGGACGGGUGAGUAAUGUCUGGGAAACUGCCUGAUGGAGGGGGAUAACUACUGGAAACGGUAGCUAAUACCGCAUAACGUCGCAAGACCAAAGAGGGGGACCUUCGGGCCUCUUGCCAUCGGAUGUGCCCAGAUGGGAUUAGCUAGUAGGUGGGGUAACGGCUCACCUAGGCGACGAUCCCUAGCUGGUCUGAGAGGAUGACCAGCCACACUGGAACUGAGACACGGUCCAGACUCCUACGGGAGGCAGCAGUGGGGAAUAUUGCACAAUGGGCGCAAGCCUGAUGCAGCCAUGCCGCGUGUAUGAAGAAGGCCUUCGGGUUGUAAAGUACUUUCAGCGGGGAGGAAGGGAGUAAAGUUAAUACCUUUGCUCAUUGACGUUACCCGCAGAAGAAGCACCGGCUAACUCCGUGCCAGCAGCCGCGGUAAUACGGAGGGUGCAAGCGUUAAUCGGAAUUACUGGGCGUAAAGCGCACGCAGGCGGUUUGUUAAGUCAGAUGUGAAAUCCCCGGGCUCAACCUGGGAACUGCAUCUGAUACUGGCAAGCUUGAGUCUCGUAGAGGGGGGUAGAAUUCCAGGUGUAGCGGUGAAAUGCGUAGAGAUCUGGAGGAAUACCGGUGGCGAAGGCGGCCCCCUGGACGAAGACUGACGCUCAGGUGCGAAAGCGUGGGGAGCAAACAGGAUUAGAUACCCUGGUAGUCCACGCCGUAAACGAUGUCGACUUGGAGGUUGUGCCCUUGAGGCGUGGCUUCCGGAGCUAACGCGUUAAGUCGACCGCCUGGGGAGUACGGCCGCAAGGUUAAAACUCAAAUGAAUUGACGGGGGCCCGCACAAGCGGUGGAGCAUGUGGUUUAAUUCGAUGCAACGCGAAGAACCUUACCUGGUCUUGACAUCCACGGAAGUUUUCAGAGAUGAGAAUGUGCCUUCGGGAACCGUGAGACAGGUGCUGCAUGGCUGUCGUCAGCUCGUGUUGUGAAAUGUUGGGUUAAGUCCCGCAACGAGCGCAACCCUUAUCCUUUGUUGCCAGCGGUCCGGCCGGGAACUCAAAGGAGACUGCCAGUGAUAAACUGGAGGAAGGUGGGGAUGACGUCAAGUCAUCAUGCCCCUUACGACCAGGGCUACACACGUGCUACAAUGGCGCAUACAAAGAGAAGCGACCUCGCGAGAGCAAGCGGACCUCAUAAAGUGCGUCGCAGUCCGGAUUGGAGUCUGCAACUCGACUCCAUGAAGUCGGAAUCGCUAGUAAUCGUGGAUCAGAAUGCCACGGUGAAUACGUUCCCGGGCCUUGUACACACCGCCCGUCACACCAUGGGAGUGGGUUGCAAAAGAAGUAGGUAGCUUAACCUUCGGGAGGGCGCUUACCACUUUGUGAUUCAUGACUGGGGUGAAGUCGAAACAAGGUAACCGUAGGGG